UGGGUCGUAGCCAAGCGGUAAGGCAACGGGUUCUGGUCCCGUCAUGCGUAGGUUCGAAUCCUACCGACCCAACAA
rnacentral:tRNA from 3 species